UGUCUCUUCGGAGGCUCUCUACGGUCUACAGUAACAAUACAGAGAAGCUUAGCAUGGCCCCUGCACAAGGAUGACACGUUCAAAUCAAGAGAUGCUAAACCUUUCU
rnacentral:snRNA from 1 species